ACUCCUACGGGAGGCAGCAGUGGGAAUAUUGCACAAUGGGCGCAAGCCUGAUGCAGCCAUGCCGCGUGUGUGAAGAAGGCCUUCGGGUUGUGAAAUGUCAAGCUUUACAGUUGUGAGGAAAGGUGGUGUCGUUAAUAGCGGCAUCAUUUGACGUUAGCAACAGAAGAAGCACCGGCUAACUCCGUGCCAGCAGCCGCGGUAAUACGGAGGGUGCGAGCGUUAAUCGGAAUUACUGGGCGUAAAGCGCAUGCAGGUGGUUUGUUAAGUCAGAUGUGAAAG
rnacentral:rRNA from 1 species